AAGGGAGACCUAAUUCCGGUAGGAGACGAAAAAAAAGUAGUCCCAACCAAGAAUCAAUCCCAAAAGGUCGGAACGAGGUAUGAGGCUUUCAAACUAGGUUCUGGGUUCACACAAGACCUGGAUCAGGAACAAGGGCUAUUAGCUCAGGUGGUUAGAGCGCACCCCUGAUAAGGGUGAGGUCCCUGGUUCGAGUCCAGGAUGGCCCACCUGCACAGGUGGCAAAAACAAAGAAGCGAGGAAUCAGCACCUUAUCUUAUCUAUAUAUAAGAGAGAAUGCUGGCUCUGAGUAAAGAGUCCAGAGGAACCUUGAAAACUGCAUAGAGCUAGGUGAAAAAGCCAAAAAAGAAGACCGCAA
rnacentral:tRNA from 1 species